rnacentral:rRNA from 1 species
CCUACAGGUGACAGCAGUGGGGAAUAUUGCACAAUGGGGGAAACCCUGAUGCAGCGACGCCGCGUGAGUGAAGAAGUAAUUCGUUACGUAAAGCUCUAUCAGCAGGGAAGAAAAUGACGGUACCUGAGUAAGAAGCCCCGGCUAACUACGUGCCAGCAGCCGCGGUAAUACGUAGGGGGCAAGCGUUAUCCGGAUUUACUGGGUGUAAAGGGAGCGUAGACGGCAUGGCAAGUCUGAAGUGAAAGCCCGGGGCUCAACCGCGGGACUGCUUUGGAAACUGGCCGGCUGGAGUGCUGGAGAGGCAGGCGGAAUUCCUGGUGUAGCGGUGAAAUGCGUAGAUAUCAGGAGGAACACCGGUGGCGAAGGCGGCCUGCUGGACAGUAACUGACGUUGAGGCUCGAAAGCGUGGGGAGCAAACAGGAUUAGAUACCCCUGUAGUC